rnacentral:tRNA from 1 species
GCCUAUUUAGCUUAGUUGAUAGUGCGUCUGCCUUGUAAGCGCUAGGCCGCGGGUUCGAUUCCCGCCCGGGGCG